rnacentral:rRNA from 1 species
CCUAUCAGCUAGUUGGUGAGGUAAUGGCUCACCAAGGCGACGACGGGUAGCCGGCCUGAGAGGGUGACCGGCCACACUGGGACUGAGACACGGCCCAGACUCCUACGGGAGGCAGCAGUGGGGAAUAUUGCACAAUGGGCGAAAGCCUGAUGCAGCNACGCCGCGUGAGGGAUGACGGCCUUCGGGUUGUNAACCUCUUUUAGUAGGGAAGAAGCGAAAGUGACGGUACCUGCNNAAAAAGCACCGGCUAACUACGUGCCNNCAGCCGCGGUAAUACGUAGGGUGCAAGCGUUGUCCGGAAUUAUUGGGCGUANAGAGCUCGUANGCGGUUUUGUCGCGUCUGCUGUGAAAUCUUGGGGGCUCNACCCCCNNCCUGCUUUGGGUACGGGCNGACUA